rnacentral:rRNA from 1 species
UGGGGAAUAUUGCGCAAUGGGGGAAACCCUGACGCAGCCACGCCGCGUGAGUGAUGAAGGCCUUCGGGUUGUAAAGCUCUGUUGGGAGGGAUGAAGAUAGUUUACUAUUUGACGGUACCUCGCAAGAAAGCACCGGCUAACUCCGUGCCAGCAGCCGCGGUAAUACGGAGGGUGCAAGCGUUGCUUGGAAUCACUGGGCGUAAAGCGAGCGCAGGCGGUAUGAUAAGUUGGGUGUGAAAGCCCGGGGCUCAACCCCGGAACUGCAUCCAAAACUGUCACACUAGAGUACUGGAGAGGAAAGCGGAAUUCCUGGUGUAGAGGUGAAAUUCGUAGAUAUCAGGAGGAACAUCCGUGGCGAAGGCGGCUUUCUGGCCAAGUACUGACGCUCAUGCUCGAAAGCGUGGGGAGCAAACAGGAUUAGAGACCCUGGUAGUCCACGCCGUAAACGAUGAAUGCUAGUUGUUGGAGGUCUAUACCCCUUCAGUGACGCAGCUAAC